rnacentral:rRNA from 1 species
ACGAACGCUGGCGGCGUGCUUAACACAUGCAGGUCGAACGGAAAGGCCCUGCUUUUGUGGGGUGCUCGAGUGGCGAACGGGUGAGUAACACGUGAGUAACCUGCCCUUGACUUUGGGAUAACUUCAGGAAACUGGGGCUAAUACCGGAUAGGGGCUCCUGCUGCAUGGUGGGGGUUGGAAAGUUUCGGCGGUUGGGGAUGGACUCGCGGCUUAUCAGCUUGUUGGUGGGGUAGUGGCUUACCAAGGCUUUGACGGGUAGCCGGCCUGAGAGGGUGACCGGCCACAUUGGGACUGAGAUACGGCCCAGACUCCUACGGGAGGCAGCAGUGGGGAAUAUUGCACAAUGGGCGGAAGCCUGAUGCAGCAACGCCGCGUGCGGGAUGACGGCCUUCGGGUUGUAAACCGCUUUCGCCUGUGACGAAGCGUGAGUGACGGUAAUGGGUAAAGAAGCACCGGCUAACUACGUG